CUCCAGUAGCAGGAAGAUAGAUUCUUACUGGGUUUCUGACGUCAGGCAGAGUGCUCCAGAGAGGAAAGACAAUGGGAAAGAGGAAAAGGGCUGGGAUGAGGUCUGAGCUAAGAGGAAGAUGGGAUGUGCUAUGGAAUGGAGGAAGCUGGUAACUCACGUUUGCUGUCCCUGCAGUCAGAGACACAGCAGGGAUUGGGAUGUCACCACUUCCAGGGAACUCCAGCAGCAGCAGCUGCCACCACAGCAGUAACCAGCUUGGCACAGGAAAAGUAGAUAUGGCAGGACCAAAACAUGAAGUGCUUGUCAUUGCCAGCUACAUGAUCAGAACGGGCACAUCCCACUGUCACAGAGCUCCCCUCACUUGACACCAUCUGUGAUACUCAGCUGCGCCCCACAGGCAAGGCCUCUCCAGGCCACAGGGCAGCAAUUCAACAGCAGCAGAGGAAUCAGCUGUUCAGUGUUUGCUAUGGGAAAGGACAGACCCCACCAGCCUCUGCUGUGAGAGCCCAGGAAGAAAUUUGGUCACAAAACCAGGACAGGACUCAGCCAGGUGUCCUCUUAAGCAAACUGUGGCCAUUGUGCCUGAUGUGAUACAGACUUUGGCCCAGGCUUCUUGGCACAGGAGAUGACACCUUUAUGUAUGACCUACAUGGGGAGAGAUUCAAAAUACCAUGACUUCAGAUCCCUGUAAAGUUGCUUAGACCUACCUACAGCUUCCUCACAUCUGGUGGCUUCAUUGUUCCAUCGUCUACAACUGCCUCAGUGCUUGUCCGCAAGCAACGAAGAACAGAAGUGACCAGUCACCUCUGCUGCUUCAGGAUCUAAUGAUCCUUCAGGCUGCUGCUUCUGGGGAAGUGGCACAGUGACACAAAGGUCUGUGGAUGCUACUGAAAGAGCCACAGCCAUGAACCUCUUUAAAACCAUUGGCUUCUGAGAAAAACAAGAUUCUACCUUCAGCCUCCCAGUGAGGAUGCAGGCACCUGGGGGCAGACUCACAACUGAUUCCUGUAGCUGCAGACAGAAUUUCCUCCAACAUCUCUCAGUUGCAGGAGGCUGGGACAGAGGCCUUUUCCCCCCUGUUUACCAGCAUUGCCUAAUCUUAUUCUCAGACCAAGAAUGUGUUCCUGCAAGUGUUCUUUCUGGAACUUCUUUACAACAACCAAGCAAAAUCCCACACACAUCCUUGAAAGCAGCUAAGAGACAUUUAGUAAUUGCACAGGUAGAACUCCCUUUUAGUGAUGUUCUCUGAUUUCUUAGACUCUCUCUAGUUUGCAUUUCCCCCAUUUUAAAACACUAAUCAUUGACCAGUACCUGUAUUCUGAGGUUUGAAUAUCUGCUUUGUGAAGGAG